GGAUAGAAGUAUAUAAAUACCUCCCUGGGUAAUGCUAUACCUGGCUGGGAGAGAAAACUGCUUGCAGUAGGACAGGCAGAUACCCAGCUGCAUGCUGGCUGCAGGUAUGGAUCCAGCACCAAGAGAAGAACUGAGAUUGAUGGCUGAGAUAGUAAUGACUUUUUUUCCAUGGAGAGCCAGGUGCUGUGAUUUCAGUCUCCAACCUCACUCAGGACAGAGCAGGAUCUGCUGUGAGCUGGCUGAGCUACAAACCACAGGAGAGAGGUUGGUGGAAGAGGCAGAAACCCUCUUUUCUCUGAGGCUGAGCAGAAGAAACACAGGAUAUGACAUCUGCUGAGUCUCCAGGUGGCUGGUUGGUGUUCUGCUCGGGGUCAAAUUGCUCACCAGCUUGCACAUCAGUCACUGGGAACCCCUUCCCAUCCCUGAGCUCUGCGUGGUCGCUGCAUUCAGCUGUGGAGGAACAGUGUAUCUGACAGCCCUCAAAGGUUUAAUAAUUAUUUGCUCUGCUUUGUGUUAGCAUUCCCCGUGUGCAUGUAUUGUAAUUGUUGCGUUUUACAUGUUCUUGGCACUCUCCAGAGAGUAAAGUUUCUGUCAGUAAUUCUUCAGUGAAGCAUAAAAAUGUCUGUUUAAAGAUCUAUUAUAAACCAGACUGCAUGUGUUUGUCCAUUUUCACUCAACUGGCCAACAGUGUGUAAUAAUACUUCAAGAUGAAAGAUGUUAACUUUACAGAUAUGUACAAGUUGGAGCAAUAAAGGCAUUAGUCAAGCA